rnacentral:lncRNA from 1 species
AUCCUUUGCACAGAUUCCAAUUCACGACAAAUUAGUUAAAUGAAAAAGAUGCCUUCACCUCAAAAAAAAAAAAAAAUAAUAAUAAAAAGGUGAAGGCAUUAUAUUUUUAUUUGUUUAGUUGUAAAAGAAUCACAUAAUGCUAAACUAUGUGUAGUGUAAACCAGUGAGAGACCACAGACGGUCAUUACCUGUACUGAAUUAAAAGAAAGUUAAUAAAAAAAUUGUUCAGUAUAAAGUAUUAUUCCAAUUAUAAUUCUAGUAGUAUUUUAAUCUGUGACAGAAACAUUUAUCAUAUAGCCAUGUGCACUUAGACCAUAUCAUUCUAGCCUUGAAUCCUCAGAAGGACUUGACUAGGAAGGAUUUGUCCUCACUAGGAUGUGUAUUUCAUUUGAGAAGCACUUAGUGAAUUUGAAGACCUUGAUUACUUUGGUUCAGGACAGGUGUGUUUAAUUAGGGUUGAAGCUAAACUCUGCAGGACAGUGGCCCUUCAGAAACAGGUUUGGACAUCUCUGAUAAAACAUAUUUUUCUCUCUCUUAGUGCUGAUAUGAUGAUGUGGCAUUUGUUCUGUUUAUAUCUUUAUGUAUGUGUAGUGGACACACUAGAUCGUUAUGAUGAUGUCAUCAUUAUUGGACAGAACUUUCAAGGUGUAACAAAGGGAGAUCAGGAGGAGUAUGAUGAUGUGAAGAACAGCAAUGAAGAUGAGAGAAACCUGUUAGACUAUGAUGAUGUGGGGGAGGAGUCAAAUAAAGAAGGAGGGGCCAUAUGACUCAAUGGCCACACCCUCUACCUCUGUUUAUGAAAUCAUAUUACAGUUACUGGAGCUGCUGGGAGCUUCUCAUAUUGCUACUAAUGCAUCAGUGCCUUAUGUUUUUGUUUUUUUAAAUAUCUUUGUAUGAAAAGUAAGAUGCUUUGCAAAAUUCAGUAUCAAAAAUGUUUAAUAUUGUAUUUUAGCAUUUGGUCUUUUAUUAACAUUUUGAUAUCAAUGCUUUUCACCUAAUAAACAAAAGAUAUCAUUCCAACAUCAUGUCACAAAAAUACUUUUAAAAGAGCGGUUAGAGAAAAGAAGAAAUUAAUGCUAAAAAAUGUUUAAGAAAAUAUUUGUAGGCACUACUGUACUUUUAGGCUACUGACAGCAUUAUUUACCUAAAUAUAAAUGAUAAAUGAUAGAGGAGCACCAUGGGGGCAAGCGAGUGCUACCUGAACACAAGUCGCGGUCUGAUCAGCCGCGGCUGGGUCACCUGGGCGAGGGUGUCUGAUGUUGAAAGACCCGAAACACAGGCUCCAACCACCUACUCCAUGAACUACAGGUCGGCGAAGAUCCACAAAAUCCGGCAGGAGUUGAAGUCCCUUAAGAAGCCAGUGAGGAGCAACGCUG